CAGGCAAUCCGCUCAUCUUGGCCUCCCAAAGUGCUAGGAUUACAGGAGUUAGCCACUGCUCCCGGCCAGCUGUAAGGUCUUGAGAAGACUGCUGGUGAAGGCUGGGAGGACUGAAAAUUGUCACUGGAGCCUGGAGAAAAGGUAACUCUAUUAAUGUAGUGGCAGAGAAUUUGCUAACAUUAUCACUUGUAGUAAUGUGGAAAAUAGAAAAUAUACCCAAGGAACCCACGGAUUUUAGUAAGAAAACUUCUAGGCAGAAUGCUUAAAGUGCCAUUUAAAAAUUUAAAAAAAAAAUUUUUUUUAAAGCUACACACAGUAAAAGGUGCAGGUAGAGAAAGAUGAGUCAAAAAAGAACUGUUCAGUUUUCAAACAAAAUUUGGAGACAAUAAAGAGCUAGAAUGUGUUGAGUAAAAACAAAACAAAACAAAACAAAAAUUGUUUUAACACUCCUAGGGGGUGGCUGUAAAAUACCUUUUAAUGACUGUAGAAAUAUUUAAGGAUGUACCUCAUAGAGUUUCCAAAAUAGACAAAAAGGCUUUUAAGAAUCCUAAGGGUAUUGUCCCACAGCACCCAACUCUGAGCCCAGACCAAAAAAGGGACUAUCUUGAAGAGAAUUGUAGGUAUGUGUUUCAUUUAACAGAAAGAAACCCAGUAAGAUUCAAAGGAUGCCCACAAAGAUUAUGAGAGAAGUGUAUUAGUGGACACAUAAUCAGCUUGGACAAAGCAGGCAGAGGUAAAGUGCAAAGAGUCCUUAGAGCCCCCAGACUUUUAUGGGUGAGACAUAAGCUGAGAAGAUUAUUCAGCUGAAAGUGCUAUUUCUUAUGGAAAGGGGACAACUCAGAAGGUGCAACAAGAGUCUGGAGGGUGGAUCCAAGAGCCGCAGAGAAUCAUUCCAGAGAGCAGGACUCGGCCCUCCAGCCAAGGAACUGGCAGCAUGUGGAUUUCAGACUUGCUAUGGUCUUUGGACCCAGAUUGGAACUAUACCAUUGGCUCUCCUGGGUUUCAAGCUUGCUUGCUGACUGCAGAUCUUGGGACUUCUCAGCCUCCAUAAUUAUGGAAUGAAGAAGCCUGAAUCUAUGCUGCAAACUCUGGUUUCCACAAGCCUCGUGAAAGAUGAAGAAAGAAGGCUAAGAAGGCUUCCUCCCAAUGGGAUGAUGGUAAGUCUGAAAUCCCAGUUGAUCUGGUGAGAUAUGAAAAAGGGUGAGAUAAUUGUGCUGAGAAAUCAUCUCAGUUUACAGGCACGCACAUCUUCAACACAAAAUGGAGGCUGAUGAGAGUUCAGUUCAAUGACUGUUUCCAACACUAGAGUGGGGCUAUGAAUUGGCAUCAUCCUAGAGAAAUUUCAAGUGGCUUAAGUGGACUUGAAAACAGUACUGUCCUCUCACUUUUUGUCAUUUAGUUUCUUAGAGUCAGAGAUAAUGUCUAAAAAAGGGCAUUUCUCAUAAUAAUUUGUGACCAGGAGAAUCAAUAAAAAAGGAUUUCCCUUGCCAGGAUUUUCAGAGAGAAAACUAUGCUUACAGUCCACAGAAUGACAAAUAUUCAUUGUGUGAUGCUAAUAAAAGUGUAAGGCAUUUUAAAAUUCAAGGGUAUUUUCUUAUAACCAUCUUCUUCAAAGAACUUUGAUCUCUAGUUACCUUAUAUGAUUGAAAACAAUGACUAAAUGAAAUGCUUGUCUCCUCCAAGAAUGGAAUAUAAAGUAUUUACAUAAAUCGAUAUUGCUGGAAAAAAAUCUGCAGAUUCCUUAUGCUUGGGUUCACAUGAAAUAAGUAACUUUCUUCCCCAAAAAGCCAGCUGUGUGAUUACUAAGAGACCAAGUCACAUGGUUUGGAUCUGUGUCCCCCUCCAAAUCUCAUGCUUAGUUGUAAUCCCCAAUGUUGAAGGUGGGGCCUUGUGGGGAGUGAUUUGGUCAUGGGGAUGGUUUCUCGUGAAUAGCUUAGCACUAUCCCUUCUUGAUAUUGUCCUCAUGAUAGUGAGUGAAUUCGUGUGAGAUCUGGUCAUUUAAAAGUGUGUGGUGGCUGGGCGCCGUGGC
rnacentral:lncRNA from 1 species